rnacentral:rRNA from 1 species
AUUGAACGCUGGCGGAAUGCUUUACACAUGCAAGUCGAGCGGCAGCACGGGGGCAACCCUGGUGGCGAGCGGCGAACGGGUGAGUAAUACAUCGGAACAUGCCCAGUCGUGGGGGGAUAACACUUCGAAAGAAGUGCUAAUACCGCAUACGUCCUGAGGGAGAAAGCGGGGGAUCGCAAGACCUCGCGCGAUUGGAGUGGCCGAUGUCAGAUUAGCUAGUUGGUGGGGUAAAGGCCUACCAAGGCAACGAUCUGUAGCUGGUCUGAGAGGAUGAUCAGCCACACUGGGACUGAGACACGGCCCAGACUCCUACGGAGGCAGCAGUGGGGAAUUUUGGACAAUGGGGGCAACCCUGAUCCAGCCAUUCCGCGUGAG